UACGUAGGGGGCAAGCGUUGUCCGGAAUCAUUGGGCGUAAAGCGCGCGUAGGCGGCCCGGUAAGUCCGCUGUAAAAGUCCAGGGCUCAACCCUGGAAAGCCGGUGGAUACUGUCGGGCUAGAGUCCGGAAGAGGCGAGUGGAAUUCCUGGUGUAGCGGUGGAAUGCGCAGAUAUCAGGAGGAACACCGAUGGCGAAGGCAGCUCGCUGGGACGGGACUGACGCUGAGGAGCGAAAGCGUGGGGAGCGAACAGG
rnacentral:rRNA from 1 species